AUGGACGUCGUCUUCGGGAAAGCCGGAGGGGGACGGCUGGGGCAGGGCCUGUCCCUCAGCCAGGGUGGAUGGAAGCGGCUUUCGGGUGGUUUGAUUUCUCCUUGGAUUUCUUUUUCUGUCCUCUCUCCUGUCUCCCUCUUCUUUCUCUCUCCUCUCUCCUCCCUCUUCCUUUGCUCUUCUCUCACUUCUCUCAAUCUUGUUCUUUCUGUGUCUCUCCUCAAACCAAAGUGUUGCUGUGAAGGACGCGAGCCAUUGAAAUCAGAGUGGGGCCCGGCAGCCGCAAUGUGGCCUCUGCCCCUCGCUGGGCAGGAGCAGAGGGAGGGGAGAGGCCCAAGACAGCAGUGCUGCAGCCCCAGGUGGCUUCCACUUUCUGCUGGACACUCCAAGGACAGGCAGACGGAGCCCCAGGCCUCAGCGUUCUCUUUUUUCUUGUCUCCCUUCUCCCACCCGGGAAAUGAAACUGUUGGGCUGGGCCAUGGAGGCAGCAGAGACUCGGCCAUUGCAGGGGUCUCCGGGUGCCUUGUCUGGGCAGCGGUGGAGUAGUCGCCUCUCCCACCCUGGCACCGAUGGGGCCUUGCACCUCAUCGACUCAUCCUCGCCGGAAUGUAAGCAUCUCCGCCGAACUGACUCCCUGCCCUAACCCUACCUCUGAGUUUGUCCAUGUUUAUUUCCUGAAGAGAGAAGGGACUGGUGAGAGGGCUUGGGCCCUAGCCCAAGGGUGGAGAGGGAGCCAAGGGCUCCUGACCAGAUAGGAAGGACAUUUGAGCAGAGAAAAAUGAAAGGAAUUACAACCAAAAAUCCCCUCCGAGAAGACAGGCAGCAUGGAAGGCAUGGUGGAGAUGACUCAAACAAAAACUAUGAUUCUAGACCAAAAAGAAAAAAAAAAGAAAAUCCAGGACUCACCACCACCCACUUCAUCCUGCUUCCUCCCGUCAAGUCCCACCACCGGGGACCUCUCCCCCACCCCAGUGUGGGGCAAAGAGAAGAGGAGGAAGCAGGGGGCAGGGAUGGGGCAGAUGCCCUGACAUUGGUGGAGGGACCCCCGUGCAGCCGGGGGUGCUGGGGACCCUCCCCAUCCAACCCCCACAACUGGGAAAAGAAAAACAAGAAAAAAUAUUCCUGGGAGGGGGGAAAAUAACCAAAUCCCAAGCUUUAACUACAGCUGUGAAACCAAAUAUUGGGAAGGGGGUGGGAGGGAGGGAGGGGCAGGUGAGCCCCAGGUCUCCCCCCGGGCCCCCUCCCCCGAGGACUCGAGAUAAGGCACCAAAUACCUCAUAGAACUUUAAUGUUAAAAAAGGAAACCAAAUAUCGUUGGCUGGGGGCCAGCCAGGGCAAGGGGCUGGGGGGCUGGAGGGAGCCAGGGUUGGGAAGGUGAUGGGGGAAUUCAUGCCCCCCACCCCCAUCUGCCCCUUCCACUCUGGUCCCCCGUCUCGACUCCGGGAAACAAAACUAUCUCAUCGUUUUUAUUUUGUGGUCUGUACAGAGCCUGUGUCCGUGUGUCUGUGUAUGAGUGAGAGAGUUGGAGGGCUGGGAGCUUUAUGUGGGGGAUGGGGAGGGAACCCCAGGCCAGGCUCUGGGCUAGGUUAGAUGUCUGAGGUGGGGGGCAGGCCAAGGGCCUGGGCUAGGAAGAAAGGAGAGAUGAGUGGAUUGGAGCAAGGGGGAGGCCUCUGAAUCUCUCUCCUCCCCAACCCUGAUCUCCUACUUAAAGGAGGAACAGAGAAUAGGUCUAUCCAAAUGGUGGGCCUUCUAUUUGUGCCAAAAAA